rnacentral:rRNA from 1 species
GACGAACGCUGGCGGCGUGCCUAAUACAUGCAAGUUGAGCGAUGAAGCUUGGUGCUUGCUCCAAUUUGAAGAGCAGCGAACGGGUGAGUAACGCGUGGGGAAUCUGCCUUUGAGCGGGGGACAACAUUUGGAAACGAAUGCUAAUACCGCAUAAUAACUUUAAACAUAAGUUUUAAGUUUGAAAGAUGCAAUUGCAUCACUCAAAGAUGAUCCCGCGUUGUAUUAGCUAGUUGGUGAGGUAAAGGCCCACCAAGGCGAUGAUACAUAGCCGACCUGAGAGGGUGGACGGCCACAUUGGGACUGGGACACGGCCCAAACUCCUACGGGAGGCAGCAGGAGGGAAUCUUCGGCAAUGGACGAAAGUCUGACCGAGCAACGCCGCGUGAGGGAAGAAGGGUUUCGGAUCGUAAAACUCUGUUGGUAGAGAAGAACGUUGGUGAGAGUGGAAAGCGCAUCAAGUGACGGUAACUACCCAGAAAGGGACGGCUAACUACGUG